rnacentral:rRNA from 1 species
GACGAACGCUGGCGGCGUGCUUAACACAUGCAAGUCGAACGGAAAGGCCUCUUUCGGGGGGUACUCGAGUGGCGAACGGGUGAGUAACACGUGAGUAACCUGCCCUUGACUUUGGGAUAACUUCAGGAAACUGGGGCUAAUACCGGAUAGGAGCUCCUGCUGCAUGGUGGGGGUUGGAAAGUUUCGGCGGUUGGGGAUGGACUCGCGGCUUAUCAGCUUGUUGGUGGGGUAGUGGCUUACCAAGGCUUUGACGGGUAGCCGGCCUGAGAGGGUGACCGGCCACAGUGGGACUGAGAUACGGCCCAGACUCCGACGGGAGGCAGCAGGGGGGAAUAUUGCACAAGGGGUGGAAGCCUGAUGCAGCAACGCCGUGGGCGGGAUGACGGCCUUCGGGUUGUAAACCGCUUUCGCUCAUGACGAAGCUUUGUGUGACGGUAGUGGGUAAAGAAGCACCGGCUAACUACGUG